rnacentral:lncRNA from 1 species
AUGCCUAGCUUUCCGUCCUCUCCCAGGGAUGGAGCGGCUUCUCCAGCCGCCCACCUGGACAUGCAGUCAGUCUGCCGACGCGCUGCGACCAGGCUCAACAUCCCUUGGCCCACCAUGGUCACUGAAGCUGUCAGAUCCCGCUACGAGGGAAAGAAGCUGCCUCAGGCCACAAGGGCGGCAAAGCCUCUCCUGCCCGCCUUCCCGGAGCUCCUCCAAGAAGUGAGAUCCUCCUGGGACAAACACCCUUUCAGCUCCAGGUUUCCUGUCCAAGGAGCCUCCUCGCUGGACUUCGAAGGGAUGGAGAAGGCUGGCAUGCUUCGCAUGCCGCCGAUGGUACCGCUGGUUGCAGCUCACCUGCACCCACGGCUCUCGGCAACUUCCUCCAGGCCUCCCGCUCUCCCUGCAAAGGUAGACCGCUUCCAGUCGGCGCUGAACGAGAGGGCGUACAAGGCUGUCGCCAUCUCGGUCCGAGCUUUGAAUGUCUCCUCCAUGCUCUCGGCGUACCAAGCCAAGCUCUGUGAGGACAUGAAUACGAAACCAGACCCGGAGGUGUGGGAGGAAAUCACCGUACUGACCGUCAUCUGCCUGCGGGUGCAGCGUUGCGCGGUCCAGGCCACAGCUAAAGCUAUGGGCACGACGGUGCUUCAGGAACGUGCACGAUGGCUGAACCUCACCAACCUCUCUGAUAGAGAGAAGGAGGACAUUUUGGACAGGCCAAUUGUGCCUGAAGGCAUUUUUGGCUCUGCAUUGGCAUCAGUGCAACAACGGUGUGAGGCAAAAAAGAAAGAGGAUGAAGCCCUUCAACUCUGCCUUCCCCGUAAACCUUCACCUGCUCUGCCGGCUCAGCCGACUUUUCCUCAGGCAGCUGCCCGAACCCAGCCUCAGUUCCGGGUCCCAAAGCGCCCGAAGCCUCAAGCAGUCCAACCAGCUCCUUCGGGCUCAGCGCCUCGACCAGUUUGGCCUCAGAGGUCCGGCAACCAAGCCGCUCUGCCACCGGGACAACCCACCUGGCCCGGCGGUCAGCAGGUGAGAAAGAAGAAAAGAGCAGCCUGA